rnacentral:rRNA from 1 species
UACGAAGGGGGGCUAGCGUUGCUCGGAAUCACUGGGCGUAAAGGGUGCGUAGGCGGGUCUUUAAGUCAGGGGUGAAAUCCUGGAGCUCAACUCCAGAACUGCCUUUGAUACUGAAGAUCUUGAGUCCGGGAGAGGUGAGUGGAACUGCGAGUGUAGAGGUGAAAUUCGUAGAUAUUCGCAAGAACACCAGUGGCGAAGGCGGCCCACUGGAUCGGUACUGACGCUGAGGUGCGAAAGCGUGGGGAGCAAACAGG